UACGUAGGGUGCGAGCGUUGUCCGGAAUUAUUGGGCGUAAAGGGCUCGUAGGCGGUCUGUCGCGUCGGGCGUGAAAACUCACAGCUUAACUGUGAGCGUGCUUUCGAUACGGGCAGACUUGAGGCAUUCAGGGGAGAACGGAAUUCCUGGUGUAGCGGUGAAAUGCGUAGAGAUCCGGAGGAACACCAGCGGCGAAGGCGGCAUCCUGGACUGGUCCUGACACUCAUGAGCGAAAGCGUGGGGAGCGAUCCGG
rnacentral:rRNA from 1 species